rnacentral:rRNA from 1 species
UACAGAGGUGCCAAGCGUUUAGGCGGAAUCACUGGGCUUAAAGCGCGUGUAGGUGGGUCGUUAAGUGUCCGCGUGAAAUCCCACGGCUCAACCGUGGAACUGCCGGGCAUACUGGCGAUCUUGAGGCAUUCAGGGGCGAGCGGAACAAGUGGUGGAGCGGUGAAAUGCGUAGAUAUCACUUGGAACGCCAAUGGUGAAAACAGCUCGCUGGGGAUGUGCCGACGCUGAGACGCGAAAGCCAGGGGAGCGAACGGG